UACAGAGGUCUCAAGCGUUGUUCGGAUUCAUUGGGCGUAACGGGUGCGUAGGCGGCGCGGUAAGUCGGGUGUGAAAUCUUGGAGCUUAACUCCGAAACUGCAUUCGAUACUGCCGUGCUUGAGGACUGGAGAGGAGACUGGAAUUUACGGUGUAGCGGUGAAAUGCGUAGAUAUCGUAAGGAAGACCAGUGGCGAAGGCGGGUCUCUGGACAGUUCCUGACGCUGAGGCACGAAGGCCAGGGGAGCAAACGGG
rnacentral:rRNA from 1 species